UACGUAGGGUGCAAGCGUUAAUCGGAAUUACUGGGCGUAAAGCGUGCGCAGGCGGUCCGUUAAGACAGAUGUGAAAUCCCCCGGGCUUAACCUGGGAACUGCAUUUGUGACUGGCGGACUCGAGUAUGGCAGAGGGGGGUAGAAUUCCACGUGUAGCAGUGAAAUGCGUAGAGAUGUGGAGGAAUACCGAUGGCGAAGGCAGCCCCCUGGGUCAAGAUUGACGCU
rnacentral:rRNA from 1 species